GACGAACGCUGGCGGCGUGCUUAACACAUGCGAGUCGAACGGAAAGGCCCUGCUUUUGUGGGGUGCUCGAGUGGCGAACGGGUGAGUAACACGUGAGUAACCUGCCCUUGACUUUGGGAUAACUUCAGGAAACUGGGGCUAAUACCGGAAAGGAGCUCCUGCUGCAUGGUGGGGGUUGGAAAGUUUCGGCGGUUGGGGAUGGACUCGCGGCUUAUCAGCUUGUUGGUGGGGUAGUGGCUUACCAAGGCUUUGACGGGUAGCCGGCCUGAGAGGGUGACCGGCCACAUUGGGACUGAGAUACGGCCCAGACUCCUACGGGAGGCAGCAGUGGGGAAUAUUGCACAAUGGGCGGAAGCCUGAUGCAGCAACGCCGCGUGCGGGAUGACGGCCUUCGGGUUGUAAACCGCUUUCGCCUGUGACGAAGCGUGAGUGACGGUAAUGGGUAAAGAAGCACCGGCUAACUACGUG
rnacentral:rRNA from 1 species